AGAGUUUGAUCCUGGCUCAGAUUGAACGCUGGCGGCGUGCCUAACACAUGCAAGUCGAGCGGUAACAGGUGUAGCAAUACAUGCUGACGAGCGGCGAACGGGUGAGUAAUGCUUCGGAAUCUACCUAAUGGUGGGGAAUAACUAUCCGAAAGGAUAGCUAAUACCGCAUAAGUCCUACGGGGGAAAGCAGGGGAUCGCAAGACCUUGCGCCGAUAGAUGAGCCGAAGCCGGAUUAGCUAGUUGGUAGGGUAACGGCCUACCAAGGCGACGAUCCGUAGCUGGUCUGAGAGGACGACCAGCCACACUGGGACUGAGACACGGCCCAGACUCCUACGGGAGGCAGCAGUGGGGAAUAUUGGACAAUGGGGGCAACCCUGAUCCAGCGACGCUGCGUGUGUGAAGAAGGCCUGCGGGUUGUAAAGCACUUUUAGUGGGGAUGAAAGGUACGGGAUUAAUACCUCUGUACUAUGACCUAACCCACAGAAAAAGCACCGGCUAACUCUGUGCCAGCAGCCGCGGUAAUACAGAGGGUGCAAGCGUUAAUCGGAAUUACUGGGCGUAAAGCGUGCGUAGACGGUUGCGUAAGUCAGAUGUGAAAGCCCCGGGCUCAACCUGGGAAUUGCAUUUGAGACUGCGUAGCUAGGGUGCGGAAGAGGGAAGCGGAAUUUCCGGUGUAGCGGUGAAAUGCGUAGAUAUCGGAAGGAACACCAGUGGCGAAAGCGGCUUCCUGGUCCAGCACCGACGUUCAGGCACGAAAGCGUGGGGAGCAAACAGGAUUAGAUACCCCGGUAGUCC
rnacentral:rRNA from 1 species